rnacentral:rRNA from 14 species
CCAGACUCCUACGGGAGGCAGCAGUGAGGAAUAUUGGACAAUGGGCGGGAGCCUGAUCCAGCCAUGCCGCGUGCAGGAUGACUGCCCUAUGGGUUGUAAACUGCUUUUAUACGGGAAGAAACGCACCUACGUGUAGGUGUCUGACGGUACCGUAAGAAUAAGGACCGGCUAACUCCGUGCCAGCAGCCGCGGUAAUACGGAGGGUCCGAGCGUUAUCCGGAAUCAUUGGGUUUAAAGGGUCCGUAGGCGGGCCUGUAAGUCAGGGGUGAAAGUUUGUGGCUCAACCAUAAAAUUGCCUUUGAUACUGCAGGUCUUGAGUCAUGGUGGGGUUGCCGGAACAUGUGGUGUAGCGGUGAAAUGCAUAGAUAUCACAUAGAACACCGAUCGCGAAGGCAGGUGACCAACCAUGUACUGACGCUGAUGGACGAAAGCGUGGGUAGCGAACGGGAUUAGAUACCCCGGUAGUCCACGCCGUAAACGAUGGAUACUAGCUGUGGGGACUUCGGUCUCCGUGGCCAAGCGAAAGUGAUAAGUAUCCCACCUGGGGAGUACGUUCGCAAGAAUGAAACUCAAAGGAAUUGACGGGGACCCGCACAAGCGGUGGAGCAUGU